GACUACAGGGGUAUCUAAUCCCGUUUGCUCCCCUAGCUUUCGCGCCUCAGCGUCAGUUAUUGUCCAGAAAGCCGCCUUCGCCACCGGUGUUCCUCCCAAUAUCUACGCAUUUCACCGCUACACUGGGAGUUCCGCUUUCCUCUCCAAAACUCUAGCUAGGCAGUUUCAGUUGCAAUUCCCAAGUUAAGCUCGGGGCUUUCACAACUGACUUACCUAACCGCCUACACGCCCUUUACGCCCAGUAAUUCCGAACAACGCUUGCCCCCUCCGUAUUACCGCGGCUGCUGGCACGGAGUUAGCCGGGGCUUCCUCACUUGGUACAGUCAGUGACCCUUGCGGGCCGUUUCGUCCCAAACGACAGAGUUUUACAUCCCGAAGGCCUUCAUCACUCACGCGGCGUUGCUGCGUCAGGCUUUCGCCCAUUGCGCAAAAUUCCCCACUGCAGCCGCCCGUAGG
rnacentral:rRNA from 1 species